rnacentral:rRNA from 1 species
GAUGAACGCUAGCGAUAGGCCUAACACAUGCAAGUCGAGGGGCAGCACAUGAAGCAGCAAUGCGGAUGGUGGCGACCGGCGCACGGGUGAGUAACGCGUAUGCAACCUGCCUACAACAAGGGAAUAACCCGUUGAAAGACGGACUAAUACCCUAUAAUACAGGGGUCCCGCAUGGGAAUAUUUGUUAAAGAUUUAUCGGUUGUAGAUGGGCAUGCGUUCCAUUAGCUAGUUGGUGAGGUAAGGGCUCACCAAGGCAACGAUGGAUAGGGGAACUGAGAGGUUUAUCCCCCACACUGGUACUGAGACACGGACCAGACUCCUACGGGAGGCAGCAGUGAGGAAUAUUGGUCAAUGGGCGCAAGCCUGAACCAGCCACGUCGCGUGAAGGAAGACGGCCCUACGGGUUGUAAACUUCUUUUGUAAGGGAAUAAAGUGUAGUACGUGUACUAUUUUGCAUGUACCUUACGAAUAAGGAUCGGCUAACUCCGUGCCAGCAGCCGCGGUAAUACGGAGGAUCCGAGCGUUAUCCGGAUUUAUUGGGUUUAAAGGGUGCGCAGGCGGGAGAUUAAGUCGGCGGUGAAAUUUUGCAGCUCAACUGUAAAAGUGCCUUCGAAACUGGUUUCCUUGAGUGUGGAUGAAGUAGGCGGAAUUUGUGGUGUAGCGGUGAAAUGCAUAGAUAUCACGAGGAACUCCGAUUGCGCAGGCAGCUUACUAAGCCAUAACUGACGCUCAGGCACGAAGGCGUGGGGAUCAAACA